rnacentral:rRNA from 1 species
UACGAAGGGGGCUAGCGUUGCUCGGAAUCACUGGGCGUAAAGCGCACGUAGGCGGACUCUUAAGUCGGUGGUGAAAUCCUGGAGCUCAACUCCAGAACUGCCUUCGAUACUGGGAGUCUCGAGUUCGGGAGAGGUGAGUGGAACUGCGAGUGUAGAGGUGAAAUUCGUAGAUAUUCGCAAGAACACCAGUGGCGAAGGCGGCUCACUGGCCCGAUACUGACGCUGAGGUGCGAAAAGCGUGGGGGAGCAAACAGGGAU